UGGGGAAUUUUGGACAAUGGGCGAAAGCCUGAUCCAGCAAUGCCGCGUGUGUGAAGAAGGCCUUCGGGUUGUAAAGCACUUUUGUCCGGAAAGAAAUCCUUGGCUCUAAUACAGUCGGGGGAUGACGGUACCGGAAGAAUAAGCACCGGCUAACUACGUGCCAGCAGCCGCGGUAAUACGUAGGGUGCAAGCGUUAAUCGGAAUUACUGGGCGUAAAGCGUGCGCAGGCGGUUUGCUAAGACCGAUGUGAAAUCCCCGGGCUCAACCUGGGAACUGCAUUGGUGACUGGCAGGCUAGAGUAUGGCAGAGGGGGGUAGAAUUCCACGUGUAGCAGUGAAAUGCGUAGAGAUGUGGAGGAAUACCGAUGGCGAAGGCAGCCCCCUGGGCCAAAUACUGACGCUCAUGCACGAAAGCGUGGGGAGCAAACAGGAUUAGAUACCCUGGUAGUCCACGCCCUAAACGAUGUCAACUAGUUGUUGGGGAUUCAUUUCCUUAGUAACGUAGCUAACGGUGAAGUUGACCGCCUGGGGAGUACGGUCGCAAGAUUAAAACUUAAAGGAAUUG
rnacentral:rRNA from 1 species